UGGGGAAUAUUGCACAAUGGGCGCAAGCCUGAUGCAGCCAUGCCGCGUGUAUGAAGAAGGCCUUCGGGUUGUAAAGUACUUUCAGCGGGGAGGAAGGGAGUAAAGUUAAUACCUUUGCUCAUUGACGUUACCCGCAGAAGAAGCACCGGCUAACUCCGUGCCAGCAGCCGCGGUAAUACGGAGGGUGCAAGCGUUAAUCGGAAUUACUGGGCGUAAAGCGCACGCAGGCGGUUUGUUAAGUCAGAUGUGAAAUCCUCGGGCUCAACCUGGGAACUGCAUCUGAUACUGGCAAGCUUGAGUCUCGUAGAGGGGGGUAGAAUUCCAGGUGUAGCGGUGAAAUGCGUAGAGAUCUGGAGGAAUACCGGUGGCGAAGGCUGCCCCCUGGACGAAGACUGACGCUCAGGUGCGAAAGCGUGGGGAGCAAACAGG
rnacentral:rRNA from 1 species